ACGAACGUUGGCGGCGUGGAUUAGGCAUGCAAGUCGUACGAGGCCGGCUCCGGAGCAAUCCGGGGGCCGCGUCGAGUGGCGAAAGGGGCAGUAAGGCGCUGGGUAACCUGCCCCCAGGACCGGCACAGCCCCGGGAAAACCGGGGGUAAUUCCGGGCGACGUAAGAAGGACGCCUGUUCUUCUUACCAAAGGCCGCAAGGCGCCUGGGGACGGGGGCUCACGUGGUAUUAGCUAGACGGCGGGGUGACGGCCCACCGUGGCCAAGAUGCCUAGCGGGUGUGAGAGCACGACCCGCGCCACUGGCACUGAGACACUGGCCAGACUCCUACGGGAGGCUGCAAGUCGAGGAUCUUCGGCAAUGGGCGCAAGCCUGACCGAGCGACGCCGCGUGGAGGAUGAAGGCCCUCGGGUUGUAAACUCCUGUCGAGGGGGAGGAAGGUCCCGCAAGGGACUUGACCUAGCCCUGGAGGAAGCACGGGCUAAGUUCGUGCCAGCAGCCGCGGUAAGACGAACCGUGCGAACGUUGUUCGGAAUCACUGGGCUUAAAGGGCGCGUAGGCGGUCACGCACGUCCGGGGUGAAAUCUUCGGGCUUAACCGGAAAGGGCCUGGAUACGGCGUGGCUCGAGGGGGAGAGGGGGCGGACGGAACUUCCGGGUGGAGCGGUGAAAUGCGUUUGAUAUCGGAAGGGGAACGGCCGGUGGCGAAAGCGGUUCCCGCUGGAUCCCUACUGACGCUGAGGCGCGAAAGCCAGGGGAAGCGAACGGGAUUAGAUACCCCGGUAGUCCUGGCCCUAAACGAUGGGUACUGGGUAGCGGGGCCGCUUCGGCGUGGCGGACUGGCCUGGGCUCGCAGCAAAAGUGGUAAGUACCCCGCCUGGGGAGUAUGGUCGCAAGGCUGGCUGAAACUCAAAGGGAAUUGACGGGGGCUCACACAAGCGGUGGAGCAUGUGGCUUAAUUCGAGGCUACGCGAAGAACCUUAUCCUGGGCUUGACAUGUGCGAAAGCGCCGGGAAGUACCCUGCGGAAACGUAAGGGGAACGGUAUCCAGUCCGGAACCCGGUACAGGUGCUGCAUGGCUGUCGUCAGCUCGUGUCGUGAGAUGUCGGGUUAAGUCCCAUAACGAGCGAAACCCUUGUCCGCAGUUGCCAGCGCGUCAUGGCGGGGACUCUGCGGAGACUGCCGGCGUCAAGCCGGAGGAAGGCGGGGAUGACGUCAAGUCCUCAUGGCCUUGAUGCCCAGGGCUGCACACGUGCUACAGUGGCGCCAACAGAGGGAUGCCAGGCCGCGAGGCCAAGCCAACCCCCCAAAAGGCGCCCCAGUUCAGAUCGGAGGCUGCAACUCGCCUCCGUGAAGCCGGAGAUCGCUAGUAAUCGCGGGUCAGCAACACCGCGGUGAAUGUGUUCCUGAGCCUUGUACACACCGCCCGUCAAGCCACGAAAGAUCGGGGCAUCCGAAGUCGCCUUCACCGGCGCCGAAGAUGAAACGGUCAAUUGGGACUAAGUCGUAACAAGGU
rnacentral:rRNA from 1 species